CUGACGUCACCGCGCCUGGGGCAACAUGGCGGCAGGUUCGGACUGACAGCCUGUGGGUGAGAGAGACAGCGAGCCCGCCUCCGUCUCCUGUCGCCGAGCGAACCACGCUCACGAUUCACACACACUCUCUCUGAAGGAAGAAGUCGGAAAAUACGAAAUCGGGCACGGAGGCAAAGUGACUGGAAUUUUAACUGAUCAGAAUGGAAACUUAUCAGACCCUGUCUUUCUGUAGCUGUGAAGUAAGUGUCAGAAAAUGAAACAGAUUAAUUCUGAAAUUUUGUGGAUUGUAUUUAUACUGGCUUCCUGCUGUGCAGUUCAGGCAGCGGAGUUUGUGGAUGUGGCCAACCAUGCGAUCAAACUGCACAGAGGGAGAGGAGCAACAAUCACUAAAGGAACACUGUGGAUCAUGGACAAUUGUAAGAAGUUGUCUGGCAUGCUUCGCCAGAAGAAUGUGGUACUGAACAAAUUGAAGAAAGCAAUUAAAGCUGUUGGAAUGGAUUCAAGACUGUCAAUGGCAGAGAAGGUCUUUCAAGUCCAUACGUUUGAGAUCUUCCAGGCAGAGCUGAAUGAGAGUGAGAAAUCAGUGUUCCAGGCAGUCCACGGGCUUGAGAGAGUUCUUCAGGGUGAUUAUAAAGAUAUAGUGAACAUGAGAGAAAGCAGCAAGCAACGUCUAGAAGCCUUGAGAGAAGCUGCUAUUAAGGAGGAAAAGGAGUAUGUGGAGUUGUUGGCUGCAGAGAAACACCAAGCUGAGGCACUAAAAAAUAUGCAGCAUGCAAACAGAAGCUUAUCAAUCCUUGAUGAAAUUCUUGAAGAUGUGCGGAAGGCUGCUGAUCGUUUGGAGGAGGAGAUUGAUGACCAUGUGUUUGACAAUAACAAAUUGGUCCGUGGUGGAAACAUUGAAGCUGUUAUCAGAGUUGAAGAGGACGAGGAAGACAAUAAGCAAAACCUUUCCAUGCACGAAGUAGAGGCUGGUUUGGGGCUGAGUAUGCUCAUUGACUCUCAGAACAACCAGUACAUCCUGACCAAACCCAGGGACUCAACAAUCCCUCGAGCUGAUAUUCAUUUUAUAAAGGAUAUAGUUUCCAUUGUGGUGAUAUCUCUGCCUUGUGGCUGGAUUUGUACCUUAAUGGGACUUCCUACAAUGUUUGGUUAUAUUGUUUGUGGGGUUCUCUUGGGUCCCUCAGGACUAAACCGCAUCAAGUCCAUUGUGCAAGUGGAAACACUUGGCGAGUUUGGUGUGUUCUUCACCCUGUUUGUUGUUGGCCUGGAAUUUUCUCCUGAUCGGCUCAGAAAGGUCUGGAAGAUUUCUUUGCAAGGUACCAGUUAUAUGACAAUUCUGAUGGUCAUAUUUGGACUACUGUGGGGACAUCUGCUGAAUAUCAGGCCAACGCAAAGUAUUUUUAUUUCCACAUGUUUAUCUCUAUCAAGCACCCCACUGGUAUCCAGAUUCCUUGCACUUAGUGCUAGAGGAGACAAAGAAGGUGAUGGAGAUUAUAGCAGUGUGCUGCUAGGAACACUGGUGAUGCAGGACGUUCAGCUGAGUUUAUUCAUUGCCGUGAUGCCCAUGUUAACUCAGGCAGGCAGUAACACAUCUAACAGUACAGUUUUAGAAAUACUGCGGAUUUUCGCUCUUAUUGGUCAAAUUCUGUUUUCGUUGGUGGCAAUUCUUCUGAUAUCUCUUGUGGUAAAGACUUACCUCAUUGGACCAUUUUACAGAAAACUACACACAGAGGGUAAAGGAAAUAGAGAGAAACUUGUCCUAGGAAUUUCAGCAUUUAUCUUUCUUAUGUUAAUGGUAACUGAGAUGUUAGAUGUCUCCAUGGAGCUGGGUUGUUUCUUGGCUGGGGCUUUGAUUUCAUCACAAGGCCAUGCUGCUAUGGAGGAAGUUAUGUUGUGCAUGGAGCCCAUACGGGAUUUUCUGGCUAUCAUCUUCUUCACUUCAAUUGGUCUUCAUGUUUUCCCAACAUUUGUGCUUUAUGAACUGACAGUCCUAAUGUGCCUUACAUUGGCGGUUGUGGUGUCCAAGGUAAUGAGUUUCUCGUCAGUCUUGGGGAACGAAAGCGCUAGAGUUCUGAAAUGUUGACUGAUUUAACUGAUUUCUGUUUCUCAGGAGUGGGAAUGACCCACUGAGUAUAUCCAGCUUCUCAUUUUGGAUCUCUAGUACCCAAGGUAUUUUUCUCUCUUUUUUCAAGUUUAUUUUUGGGAGUAGAUGUCUGAGCAUACUGAGGAGAAAUAAGGAUGAAAAUUGCAGAGGCACAGCCAUUAAUUUUGCAAUCUUCCUUAAAUAUAGGGUUGGUACCAGAGGACUGGAGAAUUACACAUGUUUAUACCCUUGUUCAAAAAUUGUGUGUGAUCCCAGCAAAUGUAGCCCAGUCAGUUUGAGCCUUGGUGGUGGGGAAACUUCUGGGAACAGUGCUUCAGGAAACAAUUAAUGGACAGUUUCUCGGGCAAAUGGAGGUUAAUCUUUUUUUUAAAGAAAGCAUGGAUUUGUUGGACAAAGCUGUUCGGGCCUCUACUCUUUGGAAUUUAGAAUGAGUGGUCAUGUUAUUGAAACAUAAAAUUCAGAGGGAACUCAACAGAGUAGAUAGUGAAAGGAUGUUUUCCCCCUCAUGCAGAUCUGGGGGGAUUCAGUUUAAAAAUGAGCAUUCCCAUUUAAGAUCGAGAUGUGGAAGAAUUUCCUCUGAGUUGUUGACCUUUGUAAUUCUGUCCGACAGCAGCAGAGGCUGGGUCAUUGGAUAUAUUCAAGUCUGAGAUAGUCCUUUGAUCUAUAAUGGAGUCAAAGGUUAUAAGAGAAAACAGAACAAUUGAAUGUAAGUCACAGUCACAAUGGCCAUAAUCUUUAUUGAAUGACAGCAGGCUUGAGAGAUUAAUCGGCCUACUCCAGUUUCUUAUGUUUAGUUCACUUGAGAUCUGUGAUGAGUUAACAGUGUGCAGAUGAGGAUAAUGCUGUUGAUGUGGUGUACGUAGGCUUCCAAAAGACAUUAAUAAAGUACCAUAUAACAUAUUUGAGUAAAGUUAAAGCUCAUGGAAUAAUUACAAAAAUAAAUGUAAAAGAAAUUGAUUGAAUAACAGGAAGCAGAGGAGUGGUCAAUGUUCUUUUUCAGACUAGAUGAAGGUUUAUGGGGCAGAUCCACAGAUGGUGUUAGGUCUCCUGAUUUAGUCGUGACCCAUUUUAGAAAGUGCACUAAUACUUGAGCUCCACAACUGCUGGGCCGUCACAAAAUUUACAAAAUCAAGUUACUCAAAGUUCCUGUAUGACAGACUCAUGUUAGCAGAAAACAUUGACAGGGUUUUGGUAUUUCCCAGGCACUACUAUUUGCUAAAAUAAAUCAUUCUAACCAUAAGCAAGCACAAAUAUGAAUUAUCAACCUAUAACACUACUAACAGAAGCUCUAGUCCCUCUUCACCCUCUAUACAUACACACGAGUGUUAUGGACGGAAGGAAAAGUACUGGGGAAACGCAGUUUGUUAGCAUCAGUCCACAGAAUUCGAUGAGAUCCUUUUACUUCUUCCAAGACUUAAAUUCUCCAAUCAUCUUUUAUCCAGAUUCUUUCAGUUCUUUGCUAAAGACACGUUGUGGUUCACACAUUAAUUGUCCAGACUUUCAGUCGCUGGUUCGAAGCAACAGCUUGUAGCAAACGGUGGAGAGAGUAGCUAGCUAACUUCCAGAUCUUGGUUACUUCACUGCAGAGAGGGAGAUACCUUCUCUAUUGAAGUCUGGAAGCUGAAUGUAAAGCUUGUGUACAGAGUACAGGCUCAAACUGUGCAAAUAAAACAAAAUCUGGAAGAAUGGCAAAUUGUGAAGAAGAUAGUGAACUUUGAAAGGACAUAGGCUGACAGUUUAACUUUAAGGCAGAUAAGUGUGAAUUGAUUAAUUAUAGUGGGAAGAACAUGAAGCGACUAUUAAAAUAAAGGGUACAAUUCUAAAGGGAUUACAGGAACAGAGGGACUGGGUGUAAAUAUGCACAUUAUUGCAGGCAGUAGUAGUAGGAUUGAGAGCAUGGUUAAAAAAUCAUAUGGAGACCUGGGCUUUAUAAACAGGAGCAUUGAAUACAAAAACAAGGUGGUUAUAGUCUAGUUGUGGUUAACCUGUAUGAAACACUGCUUUGAUUUCAGCUGUAGCAAAGGAGCCAUUUUGGGCAGCACACGUUGAGGAGGAUGUGAAAGUAUAAGAGACUGCAGAAAAAUAUUGCUGAGAAUGAUUCCAGGGAUAAGGGCCUUAUGCCAAUAGAUUGGAAUAAUUGUGAACUUUUGGAGAAGAGACGGUUGAGAGGAGAUUUGAUAGAAGUUCUUAAGUCCUGGACAGAGUAGAUAGGGAGAAAGUUUUCUAAUUGGUAGAAGGAUUGGGAAACAGAAGACACAGAACUAAGGUAAUUGGCAAAAGAGGUAAUUGGCAACAGAGGCAAUUGCAACAUGAGGAGAAAACACCUUCAUGCUGCAGCUAUUCAAGUGAUCUGGAAUGCCCUGGAUCACUGUGUGGUGGAGGAAGGCACUUGGAUCAUUACCUGAAGAAAAAUUUUCAAGGUUUUGGAGGGAAAAGUAGGGGAAUGGGGUUAGGUGAGUUGCGCUUGUAGAGAGGCAAUGUGGGUACCAAGGUCUAAAUAGCUGCUUGUGUGUAACUGUUCUGUGAAAUAAACACAGGAAGUACUGUGAAUAUUCAGCAAGUCAGACAGCAACUGUAGAGAGAGAAAAAGUUGCAUUUAUCCAAAUGGUUAUGAUGGCUUCUCAUUAACCUGAAACAACAAUUGUUUCUCUCCACAGAUACUGCCUGGGUUUUUGCAGCAGUUUGUGUUUAUUUCAGAAUUUCAGUGUUUGCAGUAUUUUGUUUUUCAGCCUUAUGAUCUGAAACUUGAUCUUUUAUGUGCAAGUGUGGCAAUAUUUCUGUUUUCUCACAUUUUUGAAUGGAGCUCACUUCAUGUGGGCCCAGACCGCUAACAAUCCAGCCUGGAUUUGAGCAUCAGUCAACCAAUGAAGCUAGAUGCCACAGUCUUGAGCCCAAUUCAUCUGCAGUGCCCUGCACAAAGUGUAGACACAAAUAGUUGAACGCACUUGUAUUUUUACCAUUUUUUUAUGAAGGUAAUUGUAUGUAGGAGUCAUCUCCUAUCAGGAUUGCGGGCUGCACAUCUAGAAGUUAAAUCUAUUAGAGAAGAGUACAGGAUGGGGUUUGGGGAGAGCAUUGAAAGAUUCGAGGCUAGAACCUGGGAAGAGGGUUUCAGCAAUUGAUGAGCUGAAGCAGGUAAAACACCAGCAUUAUCUUGCAGCCUAACUGCCUGAUCAGUGCAGAACAUAAUACUGCACAAGAGACCAUUCAGCCCAUCAAGUAUAUACGCCUCUGAAGGACAAUCCAGUUGGUCCUGCUCCUUGCCAUAUCCCCGCACUGUUCUCAUUGUUGGAAACAAUGGCUGUAUCUGAACUCUGCGGAUUUUGAACACCUCUAUCGAAUUGCCCUUGGCCCCCUCUGUUCCUAUGGAGACAAUCUGAGUUUCUGUAGUCCAGCCACCUAACUGCUGUCCCAUGACCCUUGUACUAUUCUAACAAAUCUCCUGUACUCUUCCCUAGAAUUUGACUUCCAUCCUUAAGUGGUGAUGCUCCCACUCAGCCACAAUACACCAGCUAAGGCUGAACUAACCUUUGAUAAACAUUCAGUGCGACUUGCUGGCUGUUUGAACUUUGUGCUUCUAUCUUUAAAGGUUAGGAUUUUUCUGCUUCAUGGCCUGUUUUGCCACCUUCAAAGAUUUGUGCAUGUGCAACCCAUGUUUCUCUGGCCUUUCACCAUCUUUAAACAUUUAUGACUUAUCUUCAUUUGUUACCAAACCAACUGCCAGGUAGGCAUUGUUGGCAGAUAUUAAAAUCCUCCUGUGAAAGCAGGAUCAAAGUUUGAGUUAAGAAUGUGUAUUUAGGAACCACCAGGAACUGGAAUAUGACAACUGCUUAUUAAAAAGGGUUUACCAAAGUUUUUAAGAGAACAUGUGAUUUCUUGGAAUAGUUUAAAAGUAAAGUGAGCUGUGAUUUGCCUGCUUAUUAUUGAAAAGUCAAGAAACUGGAAAUACAAACAAAGUGUUUGAGAGAUGAGCUUUAAAUUACUGGACAAAUUUGGUUUGGAAAUGAGAAUAGAUAGCCCCUUGAAGACUUUCUGAGCUAUUUAAAAAUGGUAGGAAAUGGUAUGUGCUGAAGGUUGCCGAGCAAUACUGUUCUGGUUUAAAACAAUGAAUCGUGGAUGCUGGAGAUUUGAAAUAAAAAUAGAAUCUGCUGGAGAAACUUGCCAGGUCUGACAGGAUCUGUCCCCACAGAAGUUGCCAGACCUGCUGAGUUUUCCAGGAGACCUUAUUUAGAAGGAUAAAGAUUAUAGUGUGCAGUAAGCAACUCUCUCUCACUCCUGAAAAAUUAAGAAGAAGCCUGGAAACAGAACAAGCUGCACAGAUUUCUCUGUCCAGGCGGUAGUACUUCUGGGAACCUAUUCAAAGAAAGUGCUCGAUAUCAUUAUGUAUAUCUCAAACUCCUAAAAGCUGAUCCUUUAUUUUAUUCAAAGGCCUAAGACUGACUGAUGUUCCCCGAAUUGAAAUCUGGUCUGAAGAUUUUCCAUUUACAAUGGUCAGCAUUUUGACCUCCUCGCAGGAAUUUUGGAGAACCCUGAGGAAUCGUCCCAUUUUUAACCUUUCAUUUAUCCUGGCAGUACUUGUCCUCUCCCUGAUCCUACCAAGGAACAGCAAAUACAUAAGAUGGGUUGUUUCUGCUGGGUUAGCGCAAGUCAGUGAGUUUUCCUUUGUUCUGAGU